rnacentral:rRNA from 1 species
AAAUAAAUAUGACAAGCGCAUUUGAUGGAUGCCUUGGCUGUAAGAGGCGAUGAAGGACGUGCUACGCUGCGAUAAGCGUCGGGGAGCUGCGAAGAAGCUUUGAUCCGGCGAUGUCCGAAUGGGGCAACCCCCUGCUUAUGCAGGAUCCUGUCAUGAAUUCAUAGUGGCAGGAAGCGAACCCGGUGAACUGAAAUAUCUAAGUAGCCGGAGGAAAGGAAAUCAACGAGACUCCCUUAGUAGUGACGAGCGAACGGGGACCAGGCCAAUGGUCAUGAUAACUAACGAGAACGACUUGGAAAGGUCGGCCAUAGUGGGUGAUAGCCCCGUAUCGGUAAAAAAGUCAUGAUCUUCGAGUAGGGCGGGACACGUGCAAUCCUGUCUGAAUAUGGGGCGACCACGCUCCAAGCCUAAGUACUCUCUACCGACCGAUAGUGAACUAGUACCGUGAGGGAAAGGUGAAAAGCACCCCGGCAAGGGGAGUGAAAUAGACCUGAAACCGGAUGCAUACAAGCAAUAGGAGCGCCGCAAGGCGUGACUGUGUACCUCUUGUAUAAUGGGUCAGCGACUUAAUGUGUCGAGCAAGCUUAAGGCGAUAGCUGUAGGCGUAGCGAAAGCAAGUCUGAAUAGGGCGAAUGAGUUCGACGUAUUAGACCCGAAACCUAGUGAUCUAGCCAUGGUCAGGUUGAAGGUAGGGUAACACCUGCUGGAGGACCGAACCCACGCCCGUUGAAAAGGUCGGGGAUGAACUGUGGUUAGGGGUGAAAGGCCAAUCAAACUGGGAAAUAGCUGGUUCUCCGCGAAAUAUAUUUAGGUAUAGCGUUGAGCGAAUACUGCGGGGGGUAGAGCACUGGAUGGGCUAGGGGAUCCCAAAGAUCUACCAAACCUAACCAAACUCCGAAUACCCGCAAGUACUACUCAGCAGUCAGACAGUGGAUGCUAACGUUCAUUGUCGAGAGGGAAACAACCCAGACCUACAUCUAAGGCCCCCAAGUGGUGGCUAAGUUUGAAAGGAUGUGGGACAGCCAUAACAGCCAGGAGGUUGGCUUAGAAGCAGCCAUCCUUUAAAGAAAGCGUAACAGCUCACUGGUCUAAUAGCCGUCCUGCGCCUAAAAUGUAACGGGGAUUAAGCCACCCGCCGAAGAUUAGGGCUUGCAGCUUGCUGCAAGCGGUAGCGGAGCGUUCUCUAAGCCUGCGAAGCCGGUCCGACAAGGAACGGUGGAGGUAUGAGAAGUGAGAAUGCUGACAUGAGUAACGACUAACAGUGUGAGAAACACUGUCGCCGAAUGACCAAGGGUUCCUGCGUCAAGUUAAUCUGAGCAGGGUUAGCCGGCCCCUAAGGUGAGGCUGAAAAGCGUAACCGAUGGGAACCACGUUAAUAUUCGUGGGCCUGCGCGAGGUGACGGAUUUUGCGUUUUGUUUGAGCUUAUUGGAUUGCUCAGGCGAGGCAAGAAGUCCCAGGAAAUAGCCCGCGCACUAUAGACCGUACCCGAAACCGACACAGGUGGUCAGGUAGAGUAUACCAAGGCGCUUGAGAGAACGAUGCUGAAGGAACUAGGCAACUUGCUCUCGUAACUUCGGGAUAAGAGAGCCCCAAUUGUACGCAAGUGCGAUUGGGGGGCACAAACCAGGGGGUUGCGACUGUUUAUUAAAAACACAGGGCUCUGCAAACGCGAUAAGCGGAUGUAUAGGGUCUGACGCCUGCCCGGUGCUGGAAGGUUAAAGGGAGAAGUGCAAGCUUUGAACUGAAGCCCCAGUAAACGGCGGCCGUAACUAUAACGGUCCUAAGGUUAAACGCCUACAUAUUGAAAGAUAUGUAAUAUGCUAGCCUUAGUAAAACUUAGCUAUAUGCUGGAAGGUCUGAGUAUCUUGAGCUACUCGCUAGAAAUUAUUGAUUUAUUAAUUUUUGGCAGUAAUAAUGUUCAAGUGCAGAUAAUCAGCAGGAAAGAUUAAAGUGUUAUGAAUAAGCAAACCGCAGCAGAAAAUCUUGCUAAUCUUUAUCAUUUUAUUGUUGAUGAUGAGGGUUUAUUGCUUGCCCUUAAAAAGGUAAAUCGCUCUUUAGCGGUGGAUGAGAAAUCAUCGGCUGCUGAUAGACAGGUGGUGAAAGCAGUGCAAGAUACGUUCAAGACUAUAUUGGGUGAGGAAAAAUAUCAGGAAAUGUUAGGUACUAACAUCAUGGUAGGUAGGUAUAAUGAUUUUUCUGAAAUUGCACUCAAUGCUGAUAUGCAAAAAGAAUUGGCAAAAGCCGGAUUGGUUUUUCCUGGUUCUAAAGAGCACGGUCAAGGACAUGCUGCAAAAUUUGCUUAAUUGAUACUUUAGAAUCCUCAGAGACUACACGCUAGGCGCCUUACGUUUUUAGGCGAAGAUAUAGUCCGAACUGCAUGGCGACAUGCAGAGGUUGGCCUCGCAGCCAACCCCAGUUAACAGAUGACAGAUGACAGAUGACAGUAAGAAAUUACUGGCAACUGGCAACUGGCAACUGGCAACUGUGUAACACAUUUGAGCGAAAUUCCUUGUCGGGUAAGUUCCGACCCGCACGAAUGGCGUAACGACAUCCCCGGUGUCUCCAGCAUCGACUCAGUGAAGUUGAAUUCUCCGUGAAGAUGCGGAGUUCCCGCGGUUAGACGGAAAGACCCCGUGCACCUUUACUGCAACUUUGCACUGGCAUUAAGAAAUAGCUGUGUAGCAUAGGUGGGAGGCUUUGAAGCUGCGGCGCUAGCCGUGGUGGAGCCACAAUGUGAAAUACCACCCUGCUGUUUCCUGAUGUCUAACCACGCCUUGUCAACCAGGGCUGGAACCAUGCAUGGUAGGCAGUUUGACUGGGGCGGUCGCCUCCCAAAGAGUAACGGAGGCGUGCGAUGGUAAGCUCAGGACGGUCGGAAAUCGUCCAUUAGAGUACAAUGGCAUAAGCUUGCCUGACUGCGAGACCCACAAGUCGAGCAGAGACGAAAGUCGGUCAUAGUGAUCCGGUGGUUCCAAGUGGAAGGGCCAUCGCUCAACGGAUAAAAGGUACGCCGGGGAUAACAGGCUGAUGACCUCCAAGAGUCCAUAUCGACGAGGUCGUUUGGCACCUCGAUGUCGGCUCAUCACAUCCUGGGGCUGGAGAAGGUCCCAAGGGUUCGGCUGUUCGCCGAUUAAAGUGGUACGUGAGCUGGGUUUAGAACGUCGUGAGACAGUUCGGUCCCUAUCUGCCGUGGGUGUAAGGAAAAUUGAGAGGAUCUGUCCUUAGUACGAGAGGACCGGGAUGGACGUACCGCUGGUGUACCUGUUGUUCUGCCAAGAGCAUACGCAGGGUAGCUAUGUACGGAAUGGAUAAACGCUGAAAGCAUCUAAGCGUGAAACCAGCCUCAAAACGAGUUUUCCCCAUCAGGGUCGUGGUAGACUACCACGUUGAUAGGCCGGGUGUGUAAGGGCGGCAACGCCUUAAGCUAACCGGUACUAAUAACCCGAUUGAUUUAUUUUU